rnacentral:rRNA from 1 species
GCCCAGGGGACGUGGAUAACCUCGGGAAACUGAGGAUAAACCGCGAUAAGUCAUUACUUCUGGAAUGGGUAAUGACUGAAAUCUACAUGGCCCCUGGAUUGGACUGCGGCCGAUCAGGCUGUUGGUGAGGUAAUGGCCCACCAAACCUGUAACCGGUACGGGCUCUGAGAGGAGGAGCCCGGAGAUGGGCACUGAGACAAGGGCCCAGGCCCUAUGGGGCGCAGCAGGCGCGAAACCUCUGCAAUAGGCGAAAGCCUGACAGGGUUACUCUGAGUGAUUUCCGUUAAGGAGAUCUUUUGGCACCUCUAAAAAUGGUGCAGAAUAAGGGGUGGGCAAGUCUGGUGUCAGCCGCCGCGGUAAUACCAGCACCCCGAGUGGUCGGGACGUUUAUUGGGCCUAAAGCAUCCGUAGCCGGUUCUACAAGUCUUCCGUUAAAUCCACCUGCUUAACAGAUGGGCUGCGGAAGAUACUAUAGAGCUAGGAGGCGGGAGAGGCAAGCGGUACUCGAUGGGGUAGGGGGUAAAAUCCGUUUGAUCCAUUGAAGA